rnacentral:misc_RNA from 1 species
GAAAUGCGAUACGUAAUGUGAAUUGCAGAAUUCAGUGAAUCAUCGAGUCUUUGAACGCACAUUGCGCCCCCUGGUAUUCCGGGGGGCAUGCCUGUCCGAGCGUCAUUGCUGCCCUCAAGCACGGCUUGUGUGUUGGGCCCCCGUCCCCUUGGGAAGGGGACGGGCCCGAAAGGCAGCGGCGGCACCGUGUCCGGUCCUCGAGCGUAUGGGAAGCAACUUUUUGUCACCCGCUCCUGUAGGUCCGGCCGGCGGCCUGCCCAACCCCAACCAAAUCUUUUUUAACCAGGUUGACCUCGGAUCAGGUAGGGAUACCCGCUGAACUUAA